rnacentral:lncRNA from 1 species
GCCCGCCGUCAGCACGUCACGUCACCGCCCGGGAGAGAGACCCAGGAAAAUGCGGAAGGGUAGACAGGCCCCCUCCUCCGCCCGGUGGGUCCUCCUGGCACCCCGUGUCGGCGCCGCUCCCGCCCCGCGACCGGGGAGCCCAGUGGCCUCGCUGCGGCGGGGUCUCCGGCGGCCGGAGUCUCCGUGACAGCGCCCCCCUUCUUUCCACCUCCUCCGCGCUCCCGCCCGCCGCCGCCACACACGCGCCGCUGCCGCCGCCGCCUCGGCCGUAAAGCCCGCGCGGGGCCGCGGUCGGCCGACCCCGCGGAGAGGCAGGCGGCCCGGCCGCCCCCCACCAUGUCCCGUGGGCCGCGGCCGCCCCCCGGGGGCCUCCCUGGAGACCUACCGCCUCUCGCGCCGGUCCUGGCCGAGGCUCCAGCUCGAGUUGUUUGCAGGCCCUCAGACCCCCGCCCGCAGUAAAUGUGUUUUCUUCAUCCCCGUGGCUGGGGAGGAAGAUAAAUUUAGCAACCCCCGCCGUCCCCUGCCUUCGCUUAAAAAAAAAAAAUCUUUGAAAUAAAAUGAAAACGGGCUUGCCAGUCUAAAUGGGUGUGCGGGAAGGGGGGUGGAGUGGGGGGAGAAGGGUUAUCCCUAGAGCACCUACCAGGCCGUCUACUUUUUAAAAAUAAGCAGUCAGAGCCAAACUGAUUUUAUUAGUUUGUACGGGGGAGGGAGAUGAGCAAAGUUGCAUUUUGAAACGUUUCGCACGUUGCAAAGAACAGGAAUUUUCUGUGUAUUUUCCUAUGUACCCGUGUUUCAGAGCUUGGGAGCCUGUGAAAUGUAAGACUGGUGUCAUCGUUUCAUAAAUCAUGAAUUUUCCACAUUCCUUAAUAGAGAGGAGCCCAAUUGGGUCCUUGAGCCAGAAACGAUAGAAGGCCUUUCAAUCAUUUUUCCAGAGAAAGAUUAGUCAGAAAAGAAGCUGUUGAUUUUCACUCCACAUCGGAGACUGAUGGGAAUUCAAAUAAGAAGCAAUAAAUUAUUGGCUUAUGAGAAAAUGUAGACCUUCUUGAAUAAAGUUGUGGUAAUUCUUUUUUUUUUUUUGUAUCCCAAACAUUAAAAAAUAUUUAUCUUCCCCUAGAAAGGCCCUAGUUUUAUUGAACUAAGCAUGCCCUACAAAAAUUAACCAUUUAUCUGACACCUGAUACUUAGGUUAUACUUAGCGUGAGCAAGUUGCAUCUUCUGUUGGAAUUCAGUUGGCCAUAAUUAAUGCCAAGUAAGAAUUUUUCAUCUGAGCCCUUAAGCCACACACUCUCCCCAAGGAGAAUAAUUUUAAAAUAAACAAUGACUGGCAAAUAGGUGAUUUUCAAGCAGUGCUUUUUACAUGAGUCAUUAGUCGAACAAGACAUUGUUUAAUUCCUGAAAAUAAUAGCCAAAUUCUUCAUGGAUUAUAAAUCACAGGGCACAGCAAACAAACUAGCUCCACUAAAGAGAUAAAAAAAUCAAUAUAGAGGCCUAGAAACAAUGAGCAGUAGCAGUGAGCACCCCUGGUGUCCAAGUUGGGGCCUCUACAGUUUCCCACCAAAGGAAAGGGAGAAGUGAUUGAUUCCAGGGCUGGAGCAGGAAAGUAUAAGAUAAGCCAGGAACAUCUCCUUAUAGCAGAAAGCAAAAGAAGAAAGUGUCCAAGCUUACUAGGUUGUCUAACAUUAAGAAAAUUUGGAUGUCAAAAAAAAUUGCUAUGGAGUGAAACAUAGUGGAUAUGUUAAUGAAUUUAUGAGACUUUAAAAAUGAUCAACUAGUGGUGAUGGUUGCACAACUUUGUAAAUGUACUAGAAAUUAGUGACGUAUGUAUGCUUUAAAAGGGUGAAUUUGAUAGUAUAAGAGUCAUAUUUCAAUUUUUUAAGUGAUCACUUUUGGAGAAUGCUAGGGAACCAACUCAAUAUUUUGAAAACUAGUGAAGGAAAAGAGAUGAAGCCUGUAAGAUCUACUCCUCAGAGUAACCAAAUAGUUGACGAAGGGACCUUCCUUUUAAUAGAAGUAUUCCAACUAAUACAUGAAGAAGUCCUGAUGAAAUUAGAAUAUCACCAUUUUGGAUUUUGUCGACUGCAAAAUAUCACCAUUUUGCAACAUCUAAUGAAUUAAUGGACCUUGGCAAUGAUCAUCAGUGGCUGCUAAGCAGAGAGAAAACCAGAAACAUGCCUCAAGAUGGAAGGACAAAAUGCUACUAGACAAAAAAAAAAAAAAAAAAAAAUCGAACCUGAGUUUGAUCAACCUUCUAGCUCUAACUACCAGUUUACAGGAAAUACAGGAAACAGAGAAACAUAUCAAUGAAACCACAGGGAUGCGGUCGACAAAAUCCAGUUGAUGAGAAACUCUAAAGGACAAAUGAAAGAUAAGAAUAAACAAAUAAAUUAUAAGAAAACAAAUUAUAAGAAAAAUUCAACAUUUAACAAAUACAUUUCUUCAACAAACAACUUAUUAGAAAAAAAUAGGAGGGGAAUCAAUAGAUUAGAAAAGACUUAAAAGACAUGUUCAUCAAUGGCAGUGUAUGAACUUCAUUUCAUUUUUUUUUCUUGUGGCAGGGUCUCUCUCUGUUGCCCAGGCUGGAGUGUAGUAGUGCAAUCACGGCACACUGCAGCCUCGACCUCCCAGGCUCAAGUGAUCCUUCCACCUCAGCCUCUUGAGUAGCUGGGACUGCAGGUGCACACCAGCACACCCAGGUAAUUUUCGUAUUUUUCGUAGAGACAGGGUUUUGCCAUGUUGCCCAGGCUGGUCUUGAACUGGACUCAAGUGAUCCACCUGCGUCGGCCUCCCAAAGUGGGGGGAUUACAGGCACAAGCCACGGCACCUGGCUCAUUUCAAUCUUGAUUCAAACAAACUGUAGGUAAGGUGCGGUGGCGCAUGCUGUAAUCCUAGCACUUUGGGAGGCCAGUGAGCUCAGGAGUUCAAGACUAGCCUGGACAACAUGAUGGAACCCCACCUCUACAAGUACAAAAAAAUUAGCCAGGCACGGUGGGGCUCCUGUAGUCCCAGCUACUCAAGAAGCAGAGGUUGGGAGGAUCGCUUGAGCCCGGGAGGUUGAGGCUGCAGUGAGCUGAGAUCAUGCCGCUGCACUCCAGCCUGGGAGACAGAAUGAGACCCUGUCUCAAAAAAUAAAUAAAUAAAUAAAUAAAUAAAUAAAUAAAUAAAUAAAAACAAAAAACUAAAAAUAUGAGACAAUUGGAGAAAUAUGAACACUGGAUUUUGUCAAUACUGACUGGAUACAUGCUCAUAUAAACAAAUUAUUGUAAUGUUAAUUCAUUUAGAUAUAAUGAUGGUGUGAUUAUGUCUAAAAACUAGUCCUUAUCGGCCAGGCACAGCGGCUCACACCUGUUAUCCUAGCACUUUGGGAGGCCGAGGUGGGGCGGAUCACGAGGUCAGGAGUUUGAGACCAGCCUGGCCAACAUGGUGAAACCCCAUCUCUACUAAAAAUACAAAAAAUUAGCCAGGCGUGGUGGUGAGUGCCUGUAACCCCAGCUACUCAGGAGGCUGAGGCAGGAGGGUCACUUGAGCCCAGGAGGCAGAGGUUGCAGUGAACUGAGAUUGUACCACUGUACUCCAGCCUGGGUGACAGAGUGAGACUCCAUCUCAAAAAAAAAAGAUCUGCCGUUACCAACGCGGGUGAACAUCGUCCAAUCCAUUGAGGGCCUAAAUAGAACAAAAAUUCAGAGGAAAGGUGAAUUCUCUUCUUGAGCUGCCCUGGGACAUUGGAGCUCCUGGUUUUCAGGCCUUUGGACUCAGAUCAAAUUACAC